CACUAGGCCCAAUACGCGUACUUGCUUAUUAGGCUUGGUAGACGGGCCAGGAAGCCCAGGCCCAUAUUCUGGAAGCAACCUUCCUAGGGUUUCUCUUCUUGUAGUCCCCCAAAGCGCCAGCUUCCUCCCCACUUCCCCCACUCCCCACCACAACACCGCCGCCGCCGCAGGAGCAGACGCGAGAAAGGAGAUCUUGCGAGGAGGCGACCGACCAUGAGGGCCAAGUGGAAGAAGAAGCGCAUGAGGAGGCUGAAGAGGAAGCGCCGAAAGAUGAGGCAGCGAUCUAAGUAGGCUGAUGGGAGGUGGUGACGCCGUGUUGCAGCUAGCUAUCCAUGUCUUUGGCUUGAUAUAGUUACUUGGCAUGGCUCCAUUGUUCAUCUGUCAAAUGUCUAAUUCAGAAACCUGCACUAUAGUAGGCCUGUUAUCGUUGCUAUUAGUUCUGUCUGGAGUUUUGUCAUCAGGACCAAUCAGCUGCCGUAUGAACUCUGUGGUGUCAUCUUUUAUUUGCUGCUUAUAAGUCAGCCAUCAAGUAUUUCCUA